AUUGAACGCUGGCGGCAGGCUUAACACAUGCAAGUCGAGCGAGGUGAUGGUGCUUGCACUAUCACUUAGCGGCGGACGGGUGAGUAAUGCUUAGGAAUCUGCCUAUUAGUGGGGGACAACAUCUCGAAAGGGAUGCUAAUACCGCAUACGUCCUACGGGAGAAAGCAGGGGAUCACUUGUGACCUUGCGCUACUAGAUGAGCCUAAGUCGGAUUAGCUAGUUGGUGGGGUAAAGGCCUACCUAGGCGACGAUCUGUAGCGGGUCUGAGAGGAUGAUCCGCCACACUGGGACUGAGACACGGCCCAGACUCCUACGGGAGGCAGCAGUGGGGAAUAUUGGACAAUGGGGGGAACCCUGAUCCAGCCAUGCCGCGUGUGUGAAGAAGGCCUUAUGGUUGUAAAGCACUUUAAGCGAGGAGGAGGCUCUUUUGGUUAAUACCCAAGAUGAGUGGACGUUACUCGCAGAAUAAGCACCGGCUAACUCUGUGCCAGCAGCCGCCGCCG
rnacentral:rRNA from 1 species